UACAGGGGGGGGCAAGCGUUGUUCGGAAUCACUGGGCGUAAAGGGCGUGUAGGCGGGUAGAUAAGUCGGGCGUGAAAUCCCUAGGCUCAACCUAGGAACUGCACUCGAAACUGUUUAUCUUGAGUGCCGGAGAGGAAAGCGGAAUUCCUGGUGUAGAGGUGAAAUUCGUAGAUAUCAGGAGGAACACCAGUGGCGAAGGCGGCUUUCUGGACGGUAACUGACGCUGAGACGGCGGAAAAGCGUGGGGAGCAAACAGGG
rnacentral:rRNA from 1 species